GAGAUGUUAGUAAAACAACUUUGUCAAGGUUAAGUUACAGGUGAAAAUCCCGUACAUCUCA
rnacentral:tRNA from 1 species